UAUCAGGUUGGUGCAAAAGUAAUUGCAGUUUUUGCCAUUGCUUUUAAUGGCAAAAACUGCAAUUACUUUU
rnacentral:miRNA from 1 species